rnacentral:rRNA from 1 species
GCUCAAAUUGAAAUCCUGGCCCCUUUCGGGGGUUCCGAAGUUGUUAAUUUGUAGAAGAGUGUUUUCGGGGUGAGGCCCGGUUUUAAAGUCUGUUUGGAACAUUACGUCAUAAGAGGGGUGAGAACCCCGUAUGCGACCCGUGGCCCCGAGCCCAUGUGAAGCCUCUUUCGACGAGUCGAGUUGUUUGGGAAUGCAGCUCAAAAUGGGUGGUAAAUUUCAUCUAAAGCUAAAUACUGGCUGGAGACCGAUAGCGCACAAGUAGAGUGAUCGAAAGAUGAAAAGCACUUUGGAAAGAGAGUCAAACAGUACGUGAAAUUGUUGAAAGGGAAGCGCUGGCAACCAGACCUGUCCGUAGGCGAUCAGCCGCUGUUCUCAGCGGUGCACUCGUUCUGCGAUCAGGCCAGCAUCGGUUUCGGCGGUCAGAUAAAGGCCCGGGGAACGUGGCUCCCUCUCGGGGGAGUGUUAUAGCCCCGGGCGCAAUGCGGCCAGCCGGGACCGAGGACCGCGCUUCGGCUAGGAUGCUGGCGUAAUGGUUGUCAGCGACCCGUCUUGAAACACGGACCAAGGAGUCUAACAUCUAUGCGAGUGUUUGGGUGUCAAACCCAUGCGCGGAAUGAAAGUGAACGGAGGUGAGAACCCUUUAGGGCGCAUCAUCGACCGAUCCAGAUGUCUUCGGAUGGAUUUGAGUAUGAGCAUAGCUGUUGGGACCCGAAAGGUGUGUAGAAUCCUCCCUGAACUAUGUAGAAUUAUAAGCUAAUGUGCGAUGAACAGAUGGUGAACUAUGCCUGAAUAGGGUGAAGCCAGAGGAAACUCUGGUGGAGGCUCGCAGCGGUUCUGACGUGCAAAUCGAUCGUCAAAUUUGGGUAUAGGGGCGAAAGACUAUCGAACCU